GACGAACGCUGGCGGCGUGCUUAACACAUGCAAGUCGAACGAGUGGCAGACGGGUGAGUAACGCGUGGCAACCUACCUCUUACAAAGGGAUAGCCUCGGGAAACCGUGAUUAAUCCCAUCUGCGGUAAGGCGGGCUCGCGUCCCAUUAGCUAGUUGGUGAGGUAACGGCCCACCAAGGCGCCGAUCCCUAGCUGGUCUGAGAGGAUGACCACCCACACGGGAACUGAGACACGGUCCAGAGUCCUACCAUGAUCAUCAGUUAUAAAUAUUGCACAAUGGGCGCAAGCCUGAUCCAGCCAUGCCGCGUGUGUGAAGAAGGCCUUCGGGUUGUAAAGCACUUUCAGCGAGGAGGCGUUACCCGCAGAAGAAGCACCGGCUAACUCCGUGCCAGCAGCCGCGGUAAUAC
rnacentral:rRNA from 1 species